rnacentral:rRNA from 1 species
CCCAGACUCCUACGGGAGGCAGCAGUGGGGGAUAUUGCACAAUGGGGGGAAACCCUGAUGCAGCGACGCCGCGUGGGUGAAGAAGCGCCUCGGCGCGUAAAGCCCUGUCAGCAGGGAAGAAAAUGACGGUACCUGAAGAAGAAGCCCCGGCUAACUACGUGCCAGCAGCCGCGGUAAUACGUAGGGGGCAAGCGUUAUCCGGAUUUACUGGGUGUAAAGGGGGCGCAGACGGCGAUGCAAGCCAGGAGUGAAAGCCCGGGGCCCAACCCCGGGACUGCUCUUGGAACUGCGUGGCUGGAGUGCAGGAGGGGCAGGCGGAAUUCCUGGUGUAGCGGUGAAAUGCGUAGAUAUCAGGAGGAACACCGGUGGCGAAGGCGGCCUGCUGGACUGCAACUGACGUUGAGGCCCGAAAGCGUGGGGAGCAAACAGGAUUAGAUACCCUAGUA